GUGAGGGAGUUGUUUUGGAAAGGACCGGUCUGAUGUUGUCUUAUUCUGAACCGUUAUGCUAUGUCAUCAAAUACAGGACCCACUGUUGGAAUUGAUCUCGGUCAAAACAAACCGAGAGAAAAAGGGGGAGCUCAACUCCCACGUAUGUGCCCUGAUCGGGGGCACCAAACCAACUGUUUUGGUCUCGGUCCCGCCUCCUUAGCGAUCUAACGAUCUGCAUGAUAAGGCCAAGUCUCUCGCUAACUACCGAUCCUAAUGAGGUGCUAAUGGAGACGAAGACCGUCUACCACCGCCGGCCACAUCCAGGGCAGUGCCGGCGGCACCCUGUACGUCCUACACCUACGCAGCUGCUGCAUCACCCAUCUGUUGACUCUCUUCCCAGCCAUCUCCUCGUUGCUGGAGACAUGGAGCCAUGGGCUACAGAAGGGGCGCACCAAGCAGACAGCAAGUUUCCCUCUGUACUCGCCACCUCAAGAAGAAUGUUGAUGGUCGCAUGGUCCGGUUUUCCACACAGCACCAUGCUUCAUAAUAAUGUUGGGCCAACAUGUAUAAUGGGGAAACUAUAGUUUUUCUAUUGAUGUAUGUCAUUUUAUUAUGAUAUGCUCCGCUGAAAUAUUAAUAAUGGUCCGAAAUUAUGUUUAAAAAAAUAUGAUCACAAUUCCCUUAGCAAAGGAAUUUUGUUUAGAGAAUUGUUCUAAAGUACCUGUCGUCAUCAAAUAUUGUCAUUUGGUGAAUCCUUAUGUAAUUUUAUUGCCAAAUUUAAUAUUUGAAAAAACUUAUGAUAUUCUGACGACAAUAUUAAUGUCCUUUUCA